rnacentral:lncRNA from 1 species
GGUGGAUGUGUGCUGACCUAGACUCAAGGCCAAAGCUGAGAGUCCAAGCCCCAGGGGCCAGGCUGGGGAUGGAGACUUGAGGGGACCUGGGGCCAGGUGGACUAGAGGGAAAACUAAAGACCAAAGAGAAGGAGUCUGAUGAGGAAGCAGUGAGAUGGAAGAGUCCAGGGGCAUUUCCCAUGAAGAGGGCACCGAAAAGCACAAGGGCUUCCUGUGUUGGAAACAAAAGGGAUGAUCCUUCAGGUUUCAGCAGAAAGUCCUGGGCGCUCUGCAGCAGGAGACAGGCAGAGCCUUCCUCGCAGGAGACCCAGGCCAGACAGGAACUGAAUCAAGGCGAGCAAUGCCCACUUUUCAUACCCAAGGAAAACGUAGUGGAUCUUUCAUGGUGGAAGCCACAUCAUCUGGAGCCCUUUUGUAAAUUUACAAUAGCUGUCACUCAAUAAAAAUGUACUAGACAUUCCAAGGCACAGAAACCGAUGAUUAAAAACAGUAGAGGACCUGUCAAAACAAACCCAUAUGCAUUCCCGAUGCUGGAGGAACUGUAGGUCCAUGAACAAGCCAAACAAACAAAAUAAGAUUUGAUCAAUUCACCCCACAUGUAAAAGCUAAAAAUAAACCAUGCCUCUAAAUGUAAACAUAAAUCCAUAAAAAUCAAUACAAGAGAAAAAAAUUUCUGCUCUUGAGUUAAACAAAGUUUUC